UGCCAGCCGCCGCGGUAAUACAGAGGUCCCAAGCGUUGUUCGGAUUUACUGGGCGUAAAGAGUGCGUAGGCGGUCGAAAAAGUUUGGUGUGAAAUCUUCGGGCUUAACCCGAAAACUGCAUUGAAAACUAUUUGACUAGAGAUCGAGAGAGGUGAGUGGAAUUCCAAGUGUAGAGGUGAAAUUCGUAGAUAUUUGGAGGAACACCAGUGGCGAAGGCGGCUCACUGGCUCGAUACUGACGCUGAGGUACGAAAGUGUGGGGAGCAAACAGGAUUAGAUA
rnacentral:rRNA from 1 species